AAAGAUUCUCAAGUUAAAAUAGAAAUUUCCUCUCCCUGCCUAACCAGGACGAGCGAACUCCUGCUCGCCGCCGCCGCCGCCGCAUCCUCUUGCCAGCCGCCCCAUCAUCCCUCCACCGUCCCUCCUUCCCGCCGCCGCCGCAUCACCCCUCCUCCGUAUCCCCCUCCCGCUGCCUCACUCCUGUGGUCCACCCGCUGUAGCCAGGUGGUACGACGCCCUCUCCUCAUCACGCCGGAUCCCGGCCGCCGCCGCUCUCUUCACCGGCGGGAUCGGAGCCGCCAGCCACAACAUCAGUAUCGUAGUCGGCCCUCGUCGCCCGCGGGAUCGGACUCCACUGCAUCAAUUGGGAGGACAACAAGCUGCGAGAGCAAACUCUACGACAGGUGCAUUUGAAUACAUGUGAUGGAAAAACUGAUCGGAAAAGAGCAAAGGAGAAAACUUGUCCAGCAGAAUAUCCUCAAGUUGUGGAAAAGGCAGCAAACUUUGUAAAUAAUAAACUCUAAAGGUUACAUCAUAGUUAUCGGAAUGACCAGCGUUUUUAGAUGAUUAGGCCUUUUUCCAUAAUUACAAACACUACCAGGAUGAAUUGCUGUUGGACAAAGAAGGAGAGACCUAUUUCAAUACUCCCGGAGAAGACCCUUCUGUCCUUUUGCGUGUUAAAGAAGACUAUGAUGAUGUUAAAGAAGACUAUGAUGGUGCAGAACCCUCUGGAAACUCGAUGGCAGCGAUUAACAUGAUCAGAUUUCCCAGUAUAUUUGAUGCCGCAAAAUCUAAAGGCUACAAACGUAAUGUUGAACAUCUUCUAGUGUACUUAUCUAGUCUACGUUUAUAUGCACUACACUACAACAGUGAUUUGGUUUCAGAACAUGAGGUUUACACUUCACAGUAGCAUAAAAGAUUAUGCAUUUUGAUUUAUGUAGCUUGAAGUGUGAUUUCAGUAGAUAGAAAUGGUGCUGGUGGGGGACAAAAGGAUCUCUGAAGAAUUUCGAAACAUGAAUGCAGCUGCUUUCUCAUCAUAUGAUCAAAGAGAACAAUCCAGUUGAUGCAGAUAGACCCCAGGAACAUGUCAUUCUGGGAGUGAAACAAUGCAAACAUCGCGUAGAUGGCACGGGGCAGCCCAGCGUAGAAGCCAGCGGUGGCGCAUGUGUGUCAAGAGUUCAAGUGUAGCCCUCCCGUGACUUCUCCACUUUCGCUCCGGGAGCUGCUCAACAAGACGGUCGCUGCUCAACAAGACUUUUCUGUUUGCACCCAAUAAAGGAUAGGCUAGUUUCGGAUGUUACAGAAAAGUCUUGUGUUCAAGCACUUCAUGUGUUUUUUUCUAUACGUGUAAACUUAGAGCAUGUGCUACAAACUUGAGAUG